rnacentral:rRNA from 1 species
GAUGAACGCUGGCGGCGUGCCUAAUACAUGCAAGUCGAGCGAACAGACGAGGAUCUUGCUCCUCUGACGUUAGCGGCGGACGGGUGAGUAACACGUGGAUCACCUACCUAUAAGACUGGGAUCACUUCGGGACACCGGCGCUAAUACCGGAUAAUACAUUGCACCGCAUGGUUCGUUAGUGAAAGACGGUUUUUCUGUCACGUAUCGCUGGUUCCGGGCCGCAUUAGCUAGUUGGUAAGUUAACGGCCUACCAAGGCUACGAUGCGUAGCCGACCUGAUAGGGUGAUCGGCCACAUGGGAGGUGAACCACGGUCAAUGGUACUGCGGGAGGCAGCAGUAGGGAACCGUCGGCAAUGGGCGAAAGCCUGACGGAGUAGCGCGGAGUGAGUGACGAAGGUCCUCCGUGCGUAAUACCGUGUUACGAGUGGAGAACAACUGUGUAAGUUGCUAUGCACGGAUUGACGGUAACGAGUCAGAAAGCCCCGGCUAACUACGUG